UACGCUCCUUCCCCUCCCCUUUCAUUCCCCACCAUGUGAGCUCAUCAGCUCCAUCCUCCACACCUUUUUCUUCUACUUCCUCUCAUGGACGCCACAAGCAGUACGGGAGAAUCUGUAAAGCUCAGGAGGGAUAGCGCCACUAAGGCAUGUCUUUUAGUGUUUGUUGAUCAUCAUAUUUUUGUGAUCAGUGGCGCUAUCUAUCCUGAGUUUCAUGGCUUCUUCUUGCUUUCUCUCGUGUGUACUCAUAUACGUACAGCUCUCACUGAGGAAAAAUACUAUUACUCCCUUUUCUUUUCCUUUUUUCUUAUGCUUAACAUUAAUAUCUUUAUGCUGAUCUGGGUGUUUCUUCUUUUGGUUCUUGUUCCAACUUUUCGCCUCCAUCAUGGGUAUCUUUAAGAUCUUUUGUCAGCUGCUUUUAAGAUCGAUGGGUGUUCUUAUUAAUUAAUUAUCUUUAGUUUUGAGUAUCUGGGUAUCUUCUUUAUGAUCGAUAUGUUUUUUCUUGAAAGGAAAAAGCAGGUAUAGUGCCAUGCACUUGUUCUUGAUGAUGAUUUUAGUAUGAACAGUAUAGUAUCCAAAAAAUGAUCUGAAAUCCUUUUGUAUCCACUUAAUCUCAAAAAUCCCCCACCUAACAUUGCUGGAUUUCUAGUGGAUCUUUCACUUUGCUGCUUGGUUUCCUUUUUCAGUGAUCUUAACUUUUUACUGGGUUUUUUUAUUUUCUCCUUUGUGUUCUCUGAAAAGUAAGUAACAUAGGAGUUGAUUUCUUCCUUCUUUCUGGUUUUUUAUUUUUCAGUUUUACUGGCAAGUCUGAAGCUUUGUCUCCUUUGUGUGAAUCCAGUUUCUGACACCUCUUCUUGAAUUCAAGCAGAUCUUUCUCUUCAAUCAAGCUUGAUGCCAUGUUGGAAACUUGGUUGGCCACUAUAGGCCAUUGUCUUGGGUUGGAGCUUAUGAUCUCUGGGCCUUAUUGCUAGUAUUGAGAGGAUUGAUCUUGCUUUCGGGUACAAGGUGUCUUAUUGUUUGGGAACACAGAAACCAACUUACCUGUUCCAGAUCUUUAAUCCUCCUUAUGUUAUCAUUGCUUCAGACAUUUGAUUAGAUUUAUGCAAUUUAUGCUCAUAAAUGUGCUUCUACAGUAAACCCCACUUCCUGUUUGCUUCAAAAGCUAUUUUUCACUUCCAUGGAAGAUGCUAA